UACGUAGGGGGCUAGCGUUGUCCGGAUUUAUUGGGCGUAAAGAGCGUGUAGGCGGCCAGGUAGGUCUGCUGUGAAAACUCGAGGCUCAACCUCGAGAUGUCGGCGGAAACCACUUGGCUAGAGUCCGGAAGAGGAGAGUGGAAUUCCUGGUGUAGCGGUGAAAUGCGCAGAUAUCAGGAAGAACACCUAUGGCGAAGGCAGCUCUCUGGGACGGUACUGACGCUGAGACGCGAAAGCGUGGGGAGCGAACAGG
rnacentral:rRNA from 1 species